AGUGAACGCUGGCGGUAGGCCUAACACAUGCAAGUCGAACGGCAGCACAGUAAGAGCUUGCUCUUACGGGUGGCGAGUGGCGGACGGGUGAGGAAUACAUCGGAAUCUACUUUUUCGUGGGGGAUAACGUAGGGAAACUUACGCUAAUACCGCAUACGACCUACGGGUGAAAGCAGGGGAUCUUCGGACCUUGCGCGAUUGAAUGAGCCGAUGUCGGAUUAGCUAGUUGACGGGGUAAAGGCCCACCAAGGCGACGAUCCGUAGCUGGUCUGAGAGGAUGAUCAGCCACACUGGAACUGAGACACGGUCCAGACUCCUACGGGAGGCAGCAGUGGGGAAUAUUGGACAAUGGGCGCAAGCCUGAUCCAGCCAUACCGCGUGGGUGAAGAAGGCCUGCGGGUUGUAAAGCCCUUUUGUUGGGAAAGAAAAGCAGCAGGUUAAUACCCCGCUGUUCUGACGGUACCCAAAGAAUAAGCACCGGCUAACUUCGU
rnacentral:rRNA from 1 species